UACGUAGGUGGCAAGCGUUGUCCGGAUUUAUUGGGUUUAAAGGGUGCGUAGGCGGCUUUGUAAGUCAGUGGUGAAAUAUGGCAGCUCAACUGUCAGGGUGCCAUUGAUACUGCAGAGCUUGAGUACAGAUGAGGUAGGCGGAAUUGACGGUGUAGCGGUGAAAUGCUUAGAUAUGACACAGAACACCGAUUGCGAAGGCAGCUAGCUAAACUGUAACUGACGCUGAGGCACGAAAGCGUGGGUAGCAAACAGG
rnacentral:rRNA from 1 species